CUACAGCUGACAAGUCCCGAAUAGGACGAAACGCGAGUUCUGUAU
rnacentral:hammerhead_ribozyme from 1 species